rnacentral:rRNA from 1 species
AUGAGUUAAGUAUAAACCCCUUUACAAGUAUCAAUUGGAGGGCAAGUCUGGUGCCAGCAGCCGCGGUAAUUCCAGCUCCAAUAGCGUAUAUUAAAGUUGUUGCAGUUAAAAAGCUCGUAGUUGGAUUUCUGUUAAUAAUUUAUAUAAUAUUUUAACGAUAUUAUAUAAUAUUAACAUAAUUCAUAUUACUAUAUAUUUAGUAUAUGAAAUUUUACUUUGAGAAAAUUAGAGUGCUUAAAGCAGGCAUUUGCCUUGAAUACUCCAGCAUGGAAUAAUAUAAAAGAUUUUUAUCUUUUUUAUUGGUUCUAAGAUAAAAAUAAUGAUUAAUAGGGACAGUUGGGGGCAUUUGUAUUUAACAGUCAGAGGUGAAAUUCUUAGAUUUGUUAAAGACAAACUAAUGCGAAAGCAUUUGCCAAGGAUGUUUCCAUUAAUCAAGAACGAAAGUUAGGGGAUCGAAGACGAUCAGAUACCGUCGUAGU